AACGAACGCUGGCGGCAGGCUUAACACAUGCAAGUCGAGCGGGCCCUUCGGGGUCAGCGGCGGACGGGUUAGUAACGCGUGGGAACGUGCCCUUUGCUUCGGAAUAGCCCUGGGAAACUGGGGGUAAUACCGGAUGUGACCUGAGGGGGAAAGAUUUAUCGGCAAGGGAUCGGCCCGCGUCUGAUUAGGUAGUUGGUGUGGUAACGGCGCACCAAGCCGACGAUCGGUAGCUGGUUUGAGAGGAUGAUCAGCAACACUGGGACUGAGACACGGCCCAGACUCCUACGGGAGGCAGCAGUGGGGAAUCUUGCGCAAUGGGCGAAAGCCUGACGCAGCCACGCCGCGUGAAUGAUGAAGGUCUUAGGAUUGUAAAAUUCUUUCACCGGGGACGAGAAUGACGGUACCCGGAGAAGAAGCCCCGGCUAACUUCGUGCCAGCCGCCGCGGUAAUAC
rnacentral:rRNA from 1 species